rnacentral:rRNA from 1 species
UACGUAGGGUGCAAGCGUUGUCCGGAAUUAUUGGGCGUAAAGAGCUCGUAGGCGGUUUGUCGCGUCUGCUGUGAAAAACUCGGGGGCUUAACCCCCGGGCCGCAGUGGGUACGGGGCAGACUAGAGUGCGGUAGGGGGAGACUGGAAUUCCUGGUGUAGCGGUGAAAUGCGCAGAUAUCAGGAGGAACACCGGUGGCGAAGGCGGGUCUCUGGGGCCACUACUGACGUGAGGAGCGAAAGCGUGGGGGAGCAACAGG